rnacentral:rRNA from 1 species
UACGUAUGUCACGAGCGUUAUCCGGAUUUAUUGGGCGUAAAGCGCGUCUAGGUGGUUAUAUAAGUCUGAUGUGAAAAUGCAGGGCUCAACUUUGUAUUGCGUUGGAAACUGUAUAACUAGAGUACUGGAGAGGUAAGCGGAACUACAAGUGUAGAGGUGAAAUUCGUAGAUAUUUGUAGGAAUGCCGAUGGGGAAGCCAGCUUACUGGACAGAUACUGACGCUGAAGCGCGAAAGCGUGGGUAGCAAACAGG